rnacentral:ncRNA from 1 species
UAAAGGCUUGGUCCUGACUUUACUAUCAGCUUUAACACAACUUACACAUGCAAGUCUCCGCAGCCCCGUGAGGAUGCCCUUAAUCCCCUGCCCGGGGACGAGGAGCAGGCAUCAGGCACAAUUUUUAGCCCAAGACGCCUUGCCACGCCACACCCCCAAGGGAAUUCAGCAGUGAUAGACAUUAAGCCAUGAGCAAAAGCUUGACUUAGUCAGUGUUAAGAGGGCCGGUAAAACUCGUGCCAGCCACCGCGGUUAUACGAGAGGCCCUAGUUGAUAGGCACGGCGUAAAGGGUGGUUAAGGAUAACAAAAAUAAAGCCAAAGGGCCUCUUGGCCGUCAUACGCUUCUGAGUGUCCGAAGCUCAAUAUACGAAAGUAGCUUUAAUACUAGUCAACCUGACUCCACGAAAGCUGAGAAACAAACUGGGAUUAGAUACCCCACUAUGCUCAGCCAUAAACCUAGACGUUAAUUCACAACAAACGUCCGCCAGGGUACUACGAGCGUUAGCUUAAAACCCAAAGGACUUGGCGGUGCCUUAGACCCCCCUAGAGGAGCCUGUUCUAGAACCGAUAACCCCCGUUAAACCUCACCACUUCUAGUCAUCCCCGCCUAUAUACCGCCGUCGUCAGCUUACCCUGUGAAGGUUAAACAGUAAGCAAAAUGGGCACAACCCAAAACGUCAGGUCGAGGUGUAGCGCACGAAGUGGGAAGAAAUGGGCUACAUUUUCUAUCACAGAAUAACACGAACAGCAUUAUGAAAGCUAAUGCCCAAAGGAGGAUUUAGUAGUAAAAAGGAAAUAGAGUGUCCUUUUGAACCCGGCUCUGAGGCGCGUACACACCGCCCGUCACUCUCCCCUGUCAAAUAGCAAUAAAUGUAUUUAACACUAAAGCACCGACAAGGGGAGGCAAGUCGUAACAUGGUAAGUGUACCGGAAGGUGCACUUGGAUCAAACC